rnacentral:rRNA from 1 species
UACGUAGGGGGCAAGCGUUGUCCGGAUUUAUUGGGCGUAAAGAGCGUGUAGGCGGCCACACAGGUCUGCUGUGAAAACUCGAGGCUCAACCUCGAGCUGUCGGUGGAAACCGUGUGGCUAGAGUCCGGAAGAGGAGAGUGGAAUUCCCGGUGUAGCGGUGAAAUGCGUAGAGAUCGGGAGGAACACCAGUGGCGAAGGCGACUACCUGGACCAGCACUGACACUGAGGCACGAAAGCGUGGGGAGCAAACAGG